rnacentral:rRNA from 1 species
GCUAGGAUGAACGCUAGCUACAGGCUUAACACAUGCAAGUCGAGGGGUAGCAGGGUAGCAAUACCGCUGACGACCGGCGCACGGGUGAGUAACACGUACUCCAACCUUCCCAUAACUCAGGGAUAGCCUUUCGAAAGAAAGAUUAAUACCUGAUAGUACUUUUUCAAGGCAUCUUAGAAAAAGUUAAAGUAUUUUAUUGGUUAUGGAUGGGGAUGCGUUCCAUUAGAUAGUUGGUGAGGUAACGGCUCACCAAGUCUUCGAUGGAUAGGGGUUCUGAGAGGAAGGUCCCCCACAUUGGUACUGAGACACGGACCAAACUCCUACGGGAGGCAGCAGUGAGGAAUAUUGGUCAAUGGGCGAGAGCCUGAACCAGCCAAGUAGCGUGAAGGAUGAAAGGUCCUAUGGAUUGUAAACUUCUUUUAUAGUAGAAUAAAGUGAUCCACGUGUGGAUUUUUGUAUGUAUACUGUGAAUAAGGAUCGGCUAACUCCGUGCCAGCAGCUGC